UACGUAGGGUGCGAGCGUUGUCCGGAAUUAUUGGGCGUAAAGGGCUCGUAGGCGGUUUGUCGCGUCGGGAGUGAAAUCCACUGGCUUAACUGGUGGCUUGCUUUCGAUACGGGCAGACUGGAGGUAUGCAGGGGAGAACGGAAUUCCUGGUGUAGCGGUGGAAUGCGCAGAUAUCAGGAGGAACACCGGUGGCGAAGGCGGUUCUCUGGGCAUUACCUGACGCUGAGGAGCGAAAGCAUGGGGAGCGAACAGG
rnacentral:rRNA from 1 species